GGGAAACUGGAGGAGGGCCCCGCCCCAGGGCCCCAACACAGUGUAUGGGGCG
rfam:Erinaceus europaeus unplaced genomic scaffold scaffold00180, whole genome shotgun sequence